rnacentral:rRNA from 1 species
AGGACGAACGCUGGCGGCGUGCUUAACACAUGCAAGUCGAGCGGAAAGGCCCUUCGGGGUACUCGAGCGGCGAACGGGUGAGUAACACGUGAGCAACCUGCCCUUAGCUUCGGGAUAGCUCCGGGAAACCGGAAUUAAAUACCGAAUAUGAUUUUGCUGACAUCAGCAGAAGUGGAAAGUUUUUCGGCUAGGGAUGGACUCGCGGCCUAUCAGCUAGUUGGUGAGGUAACGGCCCACCAAGGCGACGACGGGUA